GACGGAGGGGGCUAGCGUUGUUCGGAAUUACUGGGCGUAAAGCGUGCGUAGGCGGCCUUUCAAGUUGGGUGUGAAAGCCCGGGGCUCAACCCCGGAAAUGCGCCCGAGACUGUUUGGCUCGAGACUCGGAGAGGUGAGUGGAACUCCCAGUGUAGAGGUGAAAUUCGUAGAUAUUGGGAAGAACACCAGUGGCGAAGGCGGCUCACUGGACGAGUACUGACGCUGAGGCACGAAAGCGUGGGGAGCAAACAGG
rnacentral:rRNA from 1 species